rnacentral:rRNA from 1 species
AGGACGAACGCUGGCGGCGUGCUUAACACAUGCAAGUCGAGCGGUGAUCCUCCUUCGGGAGGUGAGCAGCGGCGAACGGGUGAGUAACACGUGGGCAACCUGCCCCUCACACUGGGAUAACCUCGGGAAACCGGGGCUAAUACCGGAUAUGACCUCGAGCGGCAUCUCUUGAGGUGGAAAGCUCCGACGGUGAGGGAUGGGCCCGCGGCCUAUCAGCUUGUUGGUGGGGUAAUGGCCUACCAAGGCGACGACGGGUAGCCGGCCUGAGAGGGCGACCCGGCCACACUGGGACUGAGACACGGCCCAGACUCCUACGGGAGGCAGCAGUGGGGAAUAUUGCGCAAUGGGCGAAAGCCUGACGCAGCGACGCCGCGUGAGGGAUGAAGGCCUUCGGGUUGUAAACCUCUUUCAGCAGGGACGAAGCGAAAGUGACGGUACCUGCAGAAGAAGCACCGGCUAACUACGCGCCGAGCAGCCGCGGUAA